rnacentral:rRNA from 1 species
CCCUUAGAUGUUCUGGGCUGCACGCGCGCUACACUGAAGCGUUCAACGAGUAUUCACCUUGCCCGGGAGGGUUGGGUAAUCUUGUUAACGUGCAUCGUGAUAGGGAUAGAUUAUUGAAAUUAUUAAUCUUGAACGAGGAAUUCCUAGUAAACGCAGGUCAUCAAUCUGCAUUGAUUACGUCCCUGCCCUUUGUACACACCGCCCGUCGCACCUACCGAUUGGAUGGUCCGGUGAAGCCUCGGGAUUGUGGUUCUUGCCGCUUUAUUGUGGCGUGACCGCGAGAACUUGUCUAAACCUUAUCAUCUAGAGGAAGGUGAAGUCGUAACA